UACGUAGGGUGCAAGCGUUGUCCGGAAUUAUUGGGCGUAAAGAGCUCGUAGGCGGCUUGUCACGUCGGAUGUGAAAGCCUGGGGCUUAACCCCGGGUCUGCAUUCGAUACGGGCAGGCCAGAGUGUGGUAGGGGAGAUCGGAAUUCCUGGUGUAGCGGUGAAAUGCGCAGAUAUCAGGAGGAACACCGGUGGCGAAGGCGGAUCUCUGGGCCAUUACUGACGCUGAGGAGCGAAAGUGUGGGGAGCGAACAGG
rnacentral:rRNA from 1 species